rnacentral:rRNA from 1 species
UGGNNUGCGNGUSUUACACNUGCAAGUCGNACGAUGAUNCCAGCUUGCUGGGCGGAUUAGUGGNNNACGGGUGAGUAACACGUGGGUGAUCUGCCCUGCACUUCGGGAUAAGCCUGGGAAACUGGGUCUAAUACCGGAUAUGACCACAGGAUGCAUGUUUUGUGGUGGAAAGGUUUACUGGUGCAGGAUGAGCCCGCGGCCUAUCAGCUUGUUGGUGGGGUAAUGGCCUACCAAGGCGACGACGGGUAGCCGGCCUGAGAGGGCGACCGGCCACACUGGGACUGAGACACGGCCCAGACUCCUACGGGAGGCAGCAGUGGGGAAUAUUGCACAAUGGGCGAAAGCCUGAUGCAGCGACGCCGCGUGAGGGAUGACGGCCUUCGGGUUGUAAACCUCUUUCAGCAGGGACGAAGCGCAAGUGACUGUACCUGCAGAAGAAGCACCGGCUAACUACGUGCCAGCAGCCGCGGUAAUACGUAGGGUGCGAGCGUUGUCCGGAAUUACUGGGCGUAAAGAGUUCGUAGGCGGUUUGUCGCGUCGUGUGUGAAAUCCCGCAGCUCAACUGCGGGCUUGCAGGCGAUACGGGCAGACUUGAGUACUGCAGGGGAGACUGGAAUUCUGGUGUACGGGAAAUGCGCAGAUAUCAGGAGGAACACCGGUGGCGAAGGGGGCUCUGGCAGAACUGACGCUGAGGACGAACGUGGUAC